AAGGGAGACCUAAUUCGGGUAUAAGGCGAAAAAAGAGUAGUCGAAACCAAGAAUCAAUCCCAAAAGGUCGGAACGAGGUAUGUGGCUUUCAAACUAGGUUCUGGGUUCACACAAGACCUGAAUCAGGAACAAGGGCUAUUAGCUCAGGUGGUUAGAGCGCACCCCUGAUAAGGGUGAGGUCCCUGGUUCGAGUCCAGGAUGGCCCACCUGCACAGGUGGCAAAAACAAAGAAGCGAGGAAUCAGCACCUUAUCUUAUCUAUAUAUAAGAGAGAAUGCUGGCUCUGAGUAAAGAGUCCAGAGGAACCUUGAAAACUGCAUAGAGCUAGGUGAAAAAGCCAAAAAAGAAGACCGCAA
rnacentral:tRNA from 1 species